UGGAGGUGACUUCACAGGUGGGGGAGGAGAGUGGUAGUAGUAUGGAGGUGGUGGGGAUGGUGAUGGAGGUGGUGGGGAUUUGUAGUAGUACGGUGGUGGAGGCGAGUAGACUGGUGGGGGAGGAGAGUGGUAAUAGUACGGAGGUUGAGGAGAUGGUGACGGAGGUGGUGGGGACUUGUAAUAGUAUGGUGGUGGAGGUGAGUGGACAGGUGGGGGAGGAGAGUGGUAAUAAUAUGGCGGUGGAGGAGAUGGCGACGGAGGUGGUGGGGAUUUGUAGUAGUAGGGCGGGGGAGGAGAGUGGACUGGUGGUGGUGGGGAUUUGUAGUAGUAUGGAGGUGGAGGUGGAGGUGAGUAGACUGGUGGUGGUGGGGAUUUGUAGUAGUAUGGAGGUGGAGGUGAGUGGACUGGUGGUGGCGGGGAUUUGUAGUAGUAGGGUGGAGGAGGAGAGUGGACUGGAGGUGGCGGGGAUUUGUAGUAGUAUGGUGGUGGAGGCGAGUAGACUGGAGGGGGUGGUGACUUGUAGUAGUAAGGUGGCGGAGGUGAGUAAACGGGAGGAGGGGGUGACUUGUAGUAGUAAGGUGGUGGAGGUGAGUAGACUGGUGGUGGAGGUGAUUUGUAAUAGUAUGGGGCAGGUAUGUGGACUGGCGGUGGUGGUGACUUGUAAUAGUAGGGAGGUGGAGGGGAUGGUGAAGGUGGUGGUGGAGACUUGUAGUAGUAUGGCGGUGGGGGUGAAUAGACUGGUGGUGGAGGUGAUUUAUAAUAGUAUGGAGGUGGAGGAGAUGGCGAUGGAGGUGGCGGAGAUUUAUAGUAGUAAGGUGGUGGAGGAGAGUGGACUGGUGGUGGAGGUGAUUUGUAAUAGUAUGGCGGUGGAGGAGAGUAGACUGGUGGUGGAGGUGAUUUAUAGUAGUAUGGCGGUGGUGGUGAGUGGACAGGUGGUGGAG
rnacentral:lncRNA from 1 species